GACGAACGCUGGCGGCGCGCUUAACACAUGCAAGUCGAGCGAGAACCAGCCCUUCGGGGCUGGGGAAAGCGGCGAACGGGUGAGUAACACGUGGGUAAUCUGCCCUCGGCACCGGAAUAGCCCGGGGAAACCCGGAUUAAUGCCGGAUGGCCUCUCCGCCCUUCGGGGCGGUGAGAAAAGGUAGCUUCGGCCUCCGGCCGAGGAUGAGCCCGCGGCCGAUUAGCUUGUUGGUGAGGUAACGGCUCACCAAGGCGACGAUCGGUAGCUGGUCUGAGAGGACGAUCAGCCACACUGGGACUGAGACACGGCCCAGACUCCUACGGGAGGCAGCAGUGGGGAAUCUUGCGCAAUGGGCGAAAGCCUGACGCAGCGACGCCGCGUGCGGGAAGAAGGCCUUCGGGUUGUAAACCGCUUUCAGGAGGGACGAAGCCACUCGGGUUAAUAGCCUAGAGGGUGACGGUACCUCCAGAAGAAGCCCCGGCUAACUACGUGCCAGCAGCCGCCGUAAUAC
rnacentral:rRNA from 1 species